CUCUAUGGUGAGCUGGAUAGGGCAGCCGCAAGGCUGGCCGGACGGUGAACCCGGUAUUCUCACCCCUGUUCGGCUCACCACCCGC
rnacentral:antisense_RNA from 1 species